rnacentral:rRNA from 1 species
AUUGAACGCUGGCGGCAGGCCUAACACAUGCAAGUCGAGCGGGGUUUUCGGACCUAGCGGCGGACGGGUGAGUAAUGCGUAGGAAGCUACCCGAUAGAGGGGGAUACCAGUUGGAAACGACUGUUAAUACCGCAUAAUGUCUACGGACCAAAGUGUGGGACCUUCGGGCCACAUGCUAUCGGAUGCGCCUACGUGGGAUUAGCUAGUUGGUGGGGUAAUGGCUCACCAAGGCGACGAUCCCUAGCUGGCUUGAGAGGAUGAUCAGCCACACUGGAACUGAGACACGGUCCAAACUCCUACGGGAGGCAGCAGUGGGGAAUAUUGGACAAUGGGCGCAAGCCUGAUCCAGCCAUGCCGCGUGUGUGAAGAAGGCCUUCGGGUUGUAAAGCACUUUCAGUAGGGAGGAAGGGUGUCGUGUUAAUAGCACAGCAUUUUGACGUUACCUACAGAAGAAGCACCGGCUAACUCUGUGCCAGCAGCCGCGGUAAGAC